rnacentral:rRNA from 1 species
AACGAGACGGGAUGGAAUGACCCUUCGGGGGAAUGAAAUCCUAGAAAGUGGCGAACGGGUGAGUAACGCGUGGGUAACCUGCCCUAUGGAAAGGAAUAGCCUCGGGAAACUGGGAGUAAUGCCUUAUAAUAUACGAGAGUCGCAUGGCUUUUGUAUUAAACGCUCCGGUGCCAUAGGAUGGACCCGCGUCCCAUUAGCUAGUUGGUGAGAUAACAGCCCACCAAGGCAACGAUGGGUAACCGGUCUGAGAGGGCGAACGGUCACACUGGAACUGAGACACGGUCCAGACUCCUACGGGAGGCAGCAGUGGGGAAUAUUGCGCAAUGGGGGCAACCCUGACGCAGCAAUACCGCGUGAGUGAAGAAGGUUUUCGGAUCAUAAAGCUCUGUUAUUGGGGAAGAAAAAAGACGGUACCCAAGAAGAAAGUCCCGGCUAACUACGUGCCAGCAGCCGCGGUAAUACGUAGGGGACAAGCGUUGUCCGGAUUUACUGGGCGUAAAGGGCACGCAGGCGGUUUUUUAAGUCAGAUGUGAAAGGUACCGGCUCAACCGGUGACAUGCAUUUGAAACUGAAAGACUUGAGUAUUGGAGAGGCAAGUGGAAUUCCUAGUGUAGCGGUGAAAUGCGUA